rnacentral:tRNA from 1 species
UCCCUGGUGGUCCAGUGUUCAGGACUCGGUGCUUUCACUGCCGAGGGCCCAAGUUCAAUCCCUGGUUGGGAAA